AACUUUUAACAACGGAUCUCUUGGUUCUCGCAUCGAUGAAGAACGUAGCAAAGUGCGAUAACUAGUGUGAAUUGCAUAUUCAGUGAAUCAUCGAGUCUUUGAACGCAACUUGCGCUCAAUGGUAUUCCAUUGAGCACACUUGUUUCAGUA
rnacentral:rRNA from 2 species